GACGAACGCUGGCGGCGUGCCUAAUACAUGCAAGUCGAACGCAGUGGGGACGGGUUAGUAACACGUGGGUAACCUCCCAUCAGAGGGGAUAACACUUGGAAACAAGUGCUAAACCGCUACUGAUUGAUGGACCCGCUGUGCAUUAGCUAGGUGGUGGGGUAACGGCUCACCAAGGCCACGAUGCAUAGCCGAUCUGAGAGGGUGAUCGGCCACACUGGAACUGAGACACGGUCCAGACUCCUACGGGAGGCAGCAGUGGGGAAUAUUGCACAAUGGGCGCAAGCCUGAUGCAGCCAUGCCGCGUGUAUGAAGAAGGCCUUCGGGUUGUAAAGUACUUUCAGCGGGGAGGCGUUACCCGCAGAAGAAGCACCGGCUAACUCCGUGCCAGCAGCCGCGGUAAUAC
rnacentral:rRNA from 1 species